GGAAGAGGUUUAGAACAAUAUAAACUGCUAAUUUAUUUUUCCUUGGUUAAAACCCAGGGCUCAUCCG
rnacentral:tRNA from 1 species